GAAGUGACGUUAGAAAGGCCCUCCCUGAGGAAGCGACGACAAGAGUGCCCUUGACGGGCGGGGAGGGCUGGGCUGUGCAUCUCUCCGCUCGCGCUGCAGGGAGAUGGCUCAGCGAAUUCUCCUGAGGAGGUUUCUGGCCUCUGUCAUCUCCAGGAAGCCCCCUCAGGGUCAGUGGCCACCCCUCACCUCUGGGGCCCUUCAGACUCCACAGUGCAGUCCUGGUGGCCUGACAAUAACUCCCAGCCCAGCCCGG